rnacentral:tRNA from 1 species
GCCUGAGUGGCUCAGUUGGUUAAGCGUCUGACUUUGGCUCAGAUCAUGAUCUCACUGCUUGUGGGUUCGAGCCCCACAUCAGGUU